rnacentral:rRNA from 1 species
UUGAACGCUGGCGGCAGGCCUAACACAUGCAAGUCGAGCGCGAAAGUUCUUCGGAAUGAGUAAAGCGGCGGACGGGCGAGUAACGCGUGGGAAUCUGCCUAGUAGUGGGGGACAACAGCCGGAAACGGCUGCUAAUACCGCAUACGCCCUACGGGGGAAAGGGGGGGAUCUUCGGACCUCUCGCUAUUAGAUGAGCCCGCGUCGGAUUAGCUAGUUGGUAGGGUAAAGGCCUACCAAGGCUACGAUCCGUAACUGGUCUGAGAGGAUGAUCAGUCGCACUGGAACUGAGACACGGUCCAGACUCCUACGGGAGGCAGCAGUGGGGAAUAUUGGACAAUGGGGGCAACCCUGAUCCAGCCAUGCCGCGUGUGUGAAGAAGGCCUUAGGGUUGUAAAGCACUUUCAGUGGGGAGAAAGGUUUGUCACCUAAUACGUGAUGAAAUUGAUGUUACCCACAGAAGAAGCACCGGCUAACUCCGUGCCAGCCGCCGCGGUAA